AGAGUCUCAAAUAGAAGAUUUGCAACCAAUCAAUCAGUCAUUGUCUAGGUAUCGGGUUUCUACUUAAUCUACUACAUCAGCAGUGAUGUGAUUGGCAGAGUUUUUCCAACAAAUUCAUUAGGAUCCCUAAAAGACUUUUCGACCUCAGCCCGUCUUCUUCAUCCCUAACCUCACUCCAUCCGUCGCACCAUCUCCGUACCGCCUCCCUGGGCUGAGGUUUCUGCUUCUCUCCUAGGUUUUGGCCACAUGCAAAGAAGGUAUGGGUAUCUCUGCGAUUCCAUUCGAUUCCACCACGAGGGUGUUCUUCUCUUCGUUGCGUGUGUUCUUUCUCCGCCACGAGGGUUCCUCUGCCUCU